AGUGAACGCUGGCGGUAGGCCUAACACAUGCAAGUCGAACGGCAGCACAGUAAGGGCUUGCUCUUACGGGUGGCGAGUGGCGGACGGGUGAGGAAUACAUCGGAAUCUACUUUUUCGUGGGGGAUAACGUAGGGAAACUUACGCUAAUACCGCAUACGACCUACGGGUGAAAGCAGGGGAUCUUCGGACCUUGCGCGAUUGAAUGAGCCGAUGUCGGAUUAGCUAGUUGGCGGGGUAAAGGCCCACCAAGGCGACGAUCCGUAGCUGGUCUGAGAGGAUGAUCAGCCACACGAGAACUGAGACACCGUCCAUACUCCUACGGGAGGCAGCAGUGUGGAAUAUUGGACAAUGGGCGCAAGCCUGAUCCAGCCAUACCGCGUGUGUGAAGAAGGCCUUCGGGUUGUAAAGCCCUUUUGUUGGGAAAGAAAAGCAGCAGGUUAAUACCCCGCGGUUCUGACGGUACCCAAAGAAUAAGCACCGGCUAACUUCGUA
rnacentral:rRNA from 1 species